GGAAGGAUGUUUGCAACAGCGAUAAGGUUGGUAGGGAGGAAACCAAAACCAAAGAUGAAACCAAUUAAGCUUAAAACUCCACCCGAGCAGACACAAACCAUCACCAGAACCAUUUUCGAUAUCGUCAAGGAGCAUGGACCUCUCAAUAUUGCCGAAACCUGGGAUCGUGUAAAGGAUGUUGGCUUGAGAGGCUUGACAAGCAAAGGGCACAUGAAGAUUGUUUUAAGAUGGAUGAGGGAAAGACAAAAGCUUAAGCUUAUCUGCAAUCACGUAGGGCCCCAGAAGAAAUUUCUGUAUACGACAUGGUUCACAAAUCCAAAUACAAUGCAUACAAAGCCGGGAUCUGAUAUUUCCUCACCAAAUACAAAGCAGAUAUUUUCAGGAAGUAAUAUUACCCGGCCAAAGUCAUCAUAAACCCUAUAAUGCGGUGUCUGAUUAUGAACCAAGGACUUAACGGAGCUUUCUAUCAUUGAGUAGUUUAUUGUAUUUCAAGUAUUGCACUAUUUUUCUGCGGUUAUUGUUCUUUCUUGUAGACUUUUACAUUGCUUUUCUUAUUAACUGCUAUGCUUUAUUUUGGCUUGAUACACUUCAGCCAAGAGUCUUCCGGAAACAGCC
rnacentral:misc_RNA from 1 species